AUUGAACGCUGGCGGCGUGCCUAACACAUGCAAGUCGAGCGGCAGCGCGGGAGCAAUCCUGGCGGCGAGCGGCGGACGGGUGAGUAAUGCUUGGGAAUCUGCCUGUUAGUGGGGGACAACCCGGGGAAACUCGGGCUAAUACCGCAUACGCACUACGGUGGAAAGCCGGGGACCGCAAGGCCUGGCGCUAACAGAUGAGCCCAAGUCGGAUUAGCUAGUUGGUAGGGUAACGGCCUACCAAGGCGACGAUCCGUAACUGGUCUGAGAGGACGACCAGUCACACCGGAACU
rnacentral:rRNA from 1 species